rnacentral:rRNA from 1 species
UACGGGGGGGAGCAAGCGUUGUUCGGAUUUACUGGGCGUAAAGGGCGCGUAGGCGGCCACCGCAAGUCGAUUGUGAAAUCUCCGGGCUUAACCCGGAAAGGUCAACCGAUACUGCGGGGCUAGAGUGCAGAAGGGGCAACUGGAAUUCUCGGGUGUAGCGGUGAAAUGCGUAGAUAUCGGGAGGAACACCGGUGGUGUAGACGGCUUUCUGGACCGUAACUGACGCUGAGACACGAAAAGCGUGGGUAGCAAACAGG